UUCUCUUCAGUGCAUAAUUAGUUCUCUAAUUUUCGCCUCAUACGCCUGAAAUCUUUUUGUCUCUUUUUUCUCAGCUUCCUCUUUUUCCAUAAUUUUAUCUUCCAUUUCAGCUAUUCUCUCCUCUACAUCUUCAAUCCGAGUUGUGGUUUUCUCCGUUUUAUUUUUCAGCUCGUUUAUAGCAUUUUUUAGCUCAUCAAGGAUGUUCCUUACUCUGUUGAUAUCUGUAGCAGUAGAUUCUCUGCUGUCUUGUAUACUGUUUAUAAGCCCAGUGAUUAGUUUUAGGACUAUUAUUCUAAUUUCACUUUUUUUAUAUUGUUUAAAUCCUUUAUGAUCAGUUCCUUAGCUGUCGUUAUUUCCUUGAGAUUCUUUGAGAGGAAUUCUUCCGUUUGGUCGUUUUGAAUAGUCCUUGGAUUUGUGCGGAACGGUGGGGCACUUCUGUGCUGUCUUGAAUAACUUGCGUUGGUGGGCGGGGCCGCAGUCAGACGUCUGCCACCAGCCCACCGCGGACCAGCCCACAUUCAGACUGGUAGGUACAUUCUGUUCCCCUCUCCAAUAGCGGGAUUCACUGUGGGUAGCGUGGCCCGUCUGGGCUAAAUGCACACUUCCAGGUUUCUGGUGCUGGGGAUCUGGCGUAUUAGCUGAGGUGGAUGAGCAAGGGGCACAGUGUCCGGAUGGGCAGGCUCAGCUCACUUUUCCUUCAGUGAGCCGCUUCAGGAGGGACCCUGCGACACCAGGAGUGAGUCUGACCCGCCGCCGGAAGGAUGGAGACGCAGAAGCACAACAUUCGUUGUUUGCACGGUGAAAGUUCCCUGAUAAGAACUGGUUCCCUUUGAGGUAUUGGCUGGAGGGAUGGGCGAGGGAGAUGGCGUUGGCGAGCAUAUUUGUUCCCCACCACGCUGAGCUCUGUCGUCUGUGGCUCAAGGGUCCCUCCCGUUGUCCUCCAGCCCUCCUGCUCUCUGAGCAGAGCUGUUAGCUUAAAACCUUCCAGAUAAGUCCCGCUUGCUCCCCGAGAACACUCCAUCCGGUCCCUCCACUUUUGCACGCCAGACUCGGGGGCUCUGCUUUGCCGGUGGGCUGCCCCUCUCCCUCCCGCCAGUCAGUUUAGCACGCACAGCCUCUCUGCCCUUCCUACCCUCUUCUCUGAGCCUGUCGUUUAAGCUUGGCUUUGGAGAAUCUGUUCUGCUAGUCUGAUGAUUUUCUGGGUUAUUUAGGAAGGUAUGGGUGGAAUCUAAGUAAUUAGCAGGACACAGUGACCCCAGCGUCCUCCUAUGCCACCAUCUCCCUGAAAUCUCCUCAAUCUUAUUCUCUUUUAAACGUAAUCAUUUUUUAUUAAAAAAUUCUUAAAGGUUCAUUUAUUUUGAAAUUCACACAGAGAGAAUGGGCACAUGCAUGAGUAGGGAGGAGGUAGAGAAUCCCAAGUAAGCUCCGUGCUGUCAGCACAGAGCCUGACACAGGGCUUGAACUCACAAACCUUGAGUUCAUGACCUGAGCUGAAUCCAAGAAUCAGAAACCCAACUGACUGAGCCACACACAUUUGUAAAAAAACAUUUUUAAGUAAAUCAGUCCAAAGUUCAACAGUAGAGGAAAGGCAUGUGCCAAAUUCCCUGCCCUCAGAGCUCUCACAGCCCUCACCACCCUUGGGGGAAUCCAGCAGUUGAAGAUGUAGUUUCCAGGCAGGAUGUCAGUGCGGGAUCGAGUGCAGGACGAGGAAGCACGUGACUGGGCAGUCAGUCCAUCCUUCCGAAGCCUGGGCUGAGGGAGCUUGUAGCAGGGAACAUGUCACUGCUUCUGUGUCACCGAUUCCAUUUCUAUGAGGGUACAAGUGGGAAGGGGGUGGGGUUGUCACGGUUUGCUGACCCAGAAGGCUGCUAUCAGGCAGGCAGUAUUGGGAACUCUCAGGCCGACAGCUCCAACUGAGCUUCUCCUCCUUUGUGAUCUGCAUGUCAAGUCUUCUUUUGUCCCCUAUCCUCUCUCCUGUCCCUGGUUGACCGUGUAACCCAACAGUUUGUCUUUGGACACUCUGUUGCUGAGGAAGCUAAACUGUUGGAAAUCACUUCCCAGCUCAUGAAGAGAGCACGCCUUCUUGCUCUGUCCCACUUGCUGUUUCCUGCUCUCUGUGCUGAGUGGGUAUGGGUGUCUGCUGGGGGACGAGGCACCUUCCAAGGAUCGGGGCCCGGGGUUAAGACGGGACAAUUAUCUAGACCCUGUCACCACCAUGGAACCCUACAGCUACCCACAAGCAUGCAUGAGGCUACCCACAAGCACGCAUGAGACUGGUAUGGACUGUGAGCAGGUUAACAGGAUGUCCAGUGUACGCACAGCGUGUGAUGUGAGACAGCCAGUACUUUUGACCCCACUGUUGCCCACAGGCCGAAGAGAGGAAUGGAAACAUCGAAUAAAGGCUGCACGAGUUGGAUGCACACCUGGAGGAAAAGAACCAAGAACAGCAGAGGAUAUGUGUCCAAGGGAGCGGCCGCACACCUGGCAGUGGUUGAGGAUGAGGCCCAGGUUGGGGGUGUGGGGAUAAGGAGUGUUGCCUUGUAUCCACUUCUCCAAAUGUGGACGGCAGUCCCCUUCUCGAUUAUCCCAUCAGGGGUACAGUGGACUCUUGUGAGUCAAGUUGCCAACUUAUGCCCCGGGAUUUCCACGUGAACUCACCCACUCUCUGGGAAUUCUACACCCUGGGUUAGGUCAAGGUAUGCAUCAAUGAUUAAGUGACCAUGUUGUUUGAUACUGGUGGAAAAUGGGUGAUGCAUUCAUGAGUUUACUGUACAUCUCCCUUUGGCAUUUGUGUAGAAGUUUCUAGAAAAGAAAAUGUUAGAGGUUGUUUCAGGAUCCCCUCUGUGCGAUAGAUGCUCUCAGCCUGGAAUGACUGCUCCCUGGUCCUCAAUUUGGAAGUAAAGUAGCCAGGGUUUGAAAUUUGAGCUGCACCGGCAGCGGAGACACAUCUCCCAUCACAAACCAAGCGUGCAAGUGCCGAUUCCAUCUUGACCCUGCUUUCACAUUUUGAUUCCUGUGACAUCAGGAUGCGUCCUACUAGAGGUGACAUCAUAGAUGCUGAAAAGUGGCCUAUGACAUCAAAGUCGUGAUGGGAAGAAUUACAGCCGGCUUCUCCCUUUGCUCCCAGAAGCUCCCUGCUUUUCAGGCAGACAGCAUUCCCUGUGCUGUGUUUGUCUCCAGACCGAAACACGGUCCCUUCAGAGAGAUUUCCUUGGGUUAUCAAAGUCCUCAUUUACAAGGAACAAACACUGGAGGCCAUGAGGAGAUGUAUGCUGGCAGGUUGCAGCAGUGAUUUCUGUUGGCACGAAGAGAAAACUUUAUGCAGCUACAAAUCUUUGGAAACGUGUUAUUUUCUGUAUUUUCUCAAUGUGUCUGAAAACCGGUUGAGCUAUUUGGUUAGUCAAAUGCACUUCCUCCUUGCCUCCUUCGGAUUUCUUCACAAAGCCGUGUGAAGUGUGGGAGGAUGUCCUGGAGUCCUGAAAAGGUCUGCACGCCUGACGACUUGCCCUGGCGGCAGACGUCCUCCUGACGUUUUUACUCUUCAUCGUGUUACACACGGAUCCCUCCAGAUGCCUGGGAUUUCCUCAGUGGAUCGCUGGGUUUCAGAGAGAGACCUGUGAACAGCCUCUCACCUUCCGCCAGGAAGAAAGGUCUGUGUCCUAUCAAAAUGAAUGAAAUCUUGCCACUUGCAGCUACAUCCAUGGAUCUGGAGGAUAUUACGUUGUGAAAUUAGAGAAAGUGCCAGAGAUUGCUGUCUGAGUGGCAGCUGCAUUGCUCCUGACUCCUUCCUGCUGAUAUAUUUCCUUUGCCCUAGAAAAAAGGCAGGUUGUUUUCCCUCCGGCCUUCUGUCCACAAGCCAACCUCUUGUGCUCAAUGCUUUCCAAUGCACUGGGGUAGCUGCUUCUGUGCCAGUGUAAGUUUGCCAGAGGGCAUGAAACAGUAAAUUUCCAAGCCGUCCCACAUCCAGGAAAACUGCUAUCAAAGAGUUGAUAAAAAUCAGAAGGGAGGCUUCCAGACUGCUUCCACCAAAGCCCCACAGGGAGGAAUUGGUCAAUAAAUAACAAUGAUGAUUUUGAUGAUAAUCUUAAUUAAAAUAAGAAUAACAACUGAGAAGAAACACACUGGGUACAUAAAUUGUUCAGUUCAGAUGAAAAUGGAAUUAAAAUGGGACUGCGGACAUGAGCACUAUUUUCCAGGCAAGCUAGGUGUCCUGAGAGUAAGAAGGAAACGUCUGUGGGGUUGGCAUGAAAGGAAGCACCGAUCACAAGCGCACUGCAUCCUGAGCUACGUAGGGCAGGAAGGCUUCUGGCUCUGGCCUUCCACUUACAACCAGGGGGCAGAGGCCCUCGCGAUCUAUCUCAGUGUUGGCUUCUCUGUGCUGGCUGGCAGCCAUGUCUGUGGAAUUGGGCUCUUGGUCCCCGAGUCUUUGAAUGGACUGUCUGCCCUGACCACCUGGGGAAGAACAAUGCUCAUGCUCCAACACUGGACUUCUCAUCAUGUGGUUACCUCACAGCGGCCUGUGGAACAGGGUCACCAACAGCCCUCAGGCUAACAAGCACACAGGUCUCAGUAAGGGAGGGCAAUGUGUCCUUGGGAAUCGCCAUGUGUUAGCUGCUUGUGAAUGCCUGGCACUCUCUAACAGUUACAUGGUUCCUGACUCUGACCUCUGAUCACCAACACCCCAUGCACACAAGUGAAGAUGGCUCCCUCCCAAUAACACUUGCCCCAUCCCAGAAGACUUUUUGCCUUCUCUUGCCAAGAGAGGUGUCACAGGUGAGCCCAUGGAGAACCCACUGUCCAUGUUCCCCUGGAUCUAGGGCAAUGUAGCAGGACUCCACAAUUAAAAUCAGAGAGACAUAGUUCCAGGCUAGGAAACUCAGUCCCUCACUGGAAAACCUGUUUAGAAGGAGAUCAAGGGAAUCAGAAGGGAUACAGUUGGGUCCCAACUCUCUGUCCCAGAUGAUAAUGAAAUAAAUCUGUGAAGGAAGUGACCAGCACAAUUCCCCAGGGAAGCUUCGUGUCCUAUGACUAUGGAAAACCUGUGGGUUAUGGAGAAAUAGAACCCAAUUUAGUUACACCUGGGAGCCUGAAUGUAGCAAAAGAAACCCAACAUCUGACCUCAAACAGUGUAGGGGGGUUGGGGCACUUGCCAGCUUUGCAGCUUUUCCUGUCCGUGGGUAAAAGCAGUGGUGAUCUGGAGGGCAGAGUCUCCACACGAGCUGAUGCCCAAGUGUGUAGGACUGGGUUCUGAUUCUGUUUAGUUCUUUUUGAGUCGUUUCUUUGACGAUCACCUGCUGGCGCAACGACUGGGCAUGCAGGAUCCCUGAAAGUCUCCAAGAGCAGGAUGUUGAGGCACUCUAUGGUGGGGGCAAAGAGCACAGUAAUAGUCACUGCACAAACAAGAGACUUCAACGCCCAACGGUUUGAGGAGGACAACAUGUUUUCGUUGAUAUCAGAAAUUAGUUGUUCGGGGGGUUGAAAACAACCUUCAUGUGUGCUCACUGGGAGUUAAUCGGCCCUAUCUGCAUUGAGAAAGAGUGAAAGCAUGUCAUUGGCAGCAACGUGGAUGCAACGGGAAGGUUGUAUGUUGAGCGACAUGUCAGUCAGAGAAGGAUACAUAUCAUAUGUUUUCACUCACAUGUGCUUCUUGAGAAGCAUAAGAGAAGACCGAGGGGAAGGGAAGGGGAAAAAGUAGUUACAAACAGAGAGGGAUGGAGGCAAACCAUAAGAGACCCUUAAAUACAGAGAACAAAUGGAGGGUGGAUGGGUGGUGGGGGAGAGGGAAAAUGGGUG